rnacentral:rRNA from 1 species
UGAGUACGAGAUGCUACGGCAUCGAAGCAGUCUAUGUCAUACUUCCAAGAAAACUUGCAAUGUCAUAAACAAAUAAUGCCUGUACCAUAACCGACACAGGUGGGUAGGUAGAGUAUACUAAGGGGCGCGAGAUAACUCUCUCUAAGGAACUCGGCAAAAUGACUCCGUAACUUCGGGAGAAGGAGUGCCUUAUUUUUAUAAGGUUGCAAUAACAAGAUCCAAGCAACUGUUUACCAAAAACACAGGUCUCCGCUAAGUCGUAAGACGAUGUAUGGGGGCUGACGCCUGCCCAGUGCCAGAAGGUUAAAGAAGUUGGUUAGCAUUAGCGAAGCUGAUAACUGAAGCCCUGGUGAACGGCGGCCGUAACGAUAACGGUCCUAAGGUAGCGAAAUUCCUUGUCGGGUAAGUUCCGACCCGCACGAAAGGCGUAAUGAUUUGGAUACUGUCUCGGAGAGGGGCUCGGUGAAAUAGACUUGUCUGUGAAGAUGCGGACUACCUGCACCUGGACAGAAAGACCCUAUGAAGCUUUACUGUAACUUGAGAUUGAAAUUGGACUUUAUCUGCGCAGUAUAGGUGGGAGACGUUGAAAAUAUUCUUGCGGGAAUAUUGGAGUCAUCAGUGAGAUACCACUCUUAUAAUGUUAGAUUUCUAACUUUGUAUCAUUAUCUGGUCAAAGAACAGUUUCAGGCGGGCAGUUUGACUGGGGCGGUCGCCUCCCAAACGGUAACGGAGGCGCACAAAGGUUUCCUCUGAACGUGUAGAAAUCGUAUCUAGAGUGUAAAGGCAUAAGGAAGCUUGACUGUGAGACCUACAAGUCGAGCAGGGACGAAAGUCGGUCUUAGUGAUCUGACGGUGCUGAGUGGAAAGGCCGUCACUCAACGGAUAAAAGUUACUCUAGGAUAACAGGCUGAUCUCCCCCAAGAGUUCACAUCGACGGGGAGGUUUGGCACCUCGAUGUCGGCUCAUCGCAUCCUGGGGCGGUAGUACGUCCCAAGGGUUGGGCUGUUCGCCCAUGAAAGCGGUACGCGAGCUGGGUUCAGAACGUCGUGAGACAGUUCGGUCCAUAUCCGGUGUAGGCGUUAGAAUAUUGAGAGGAGCCUUCUUUAGUACGAGAGGACCGAGAAGGACAUACCUCUGGUGUACCAGUUAUCGUGCCAACGGUAAACGCUGGGUAGCCAUGUAUGGAGAGGAUAACCGCUGAAAGCAUCUAAGUGGGAAGCCCACCUCAAGAUAAGUAUUCUC